rnacentral:rRNA from 1 species
UACGUAGGGUGCAAGCGUUGUCCGGAUUUAUUGGGCGUAAAGAGCUCGUAGGCGGUUUCGUAAGUCGGAUGUGAAAACUCAGGGCUCAACCCGGAGACGCCAUCCGAUACUGCGAUGACUGGAGUCUGGUAGGGGAUCACGGAAUACCUGGUGUAGCGGUGAAAUGCGCAGAUAUCAGGUGGAACACCGAUGGCGAAGGCAGUGAUCUGGGCCAGUACUGACGCUGAGGAGCGAAAGCGUGGGGAGCAAACAGG